rnacentral:lncRNA from 1 species
GCCGCCCACUAUUGUUUCCUCUUCUUUUUGUGUGACAAAUUGAAGAGGCUUUUUAUCAUGAAAUAUCUGAAUAGGGCAUGGGUUUAUCGUGGAAAAAGAUCAUGUUGCAUUGCCCUUUGUCAACCCCCUUUGAUUAGGUAAUAGGUUAGAGUUUAAAUUCAAAUAUGAUUUGAAUUCAAACUCUAACAAGUAUCCUAUUUUUAUAUUGGACGCCCACCUAUUAAUAAGACCUAUGUGACAAAGAGGAUUAUUAAUCGAUAAGGAAUAUCAAAAAAUUCUAAGAAAAAAAGAGAGGGGCGAAGGGUGCUUGGGGUGGGUACUUUCUCAUUGGUGCUUGGGUUUUGGGUG